rnacentral:rRNA from 1 species
CACGUAGGGGGCGAGCGUUGUUCGGAUUUACUGGGCGUAAAGCGCACGUAGGCGGAUCGUUAAGUCGGGGGUGAAAUCCUGGAGCUCAACUCCAGAACUGCCUUCGAUACUGGCGAUCUUGAGUCCGGAAGAGGUGAGUGGAACUCCUAGUGUAGAGGUGGAAUUCGUAGAUAUUAGGAAGAACACCAGUGGCGAAGGCGGCUCACUGGUCCGGUACUGACGCUGAGGUGCGAAAGCGUGGGGAGCAAACAGG